UAUGGGAGAAAGAAAUAGAUAAAGAAGCAAAGAUAUACAAAAUUUGUAGGAUACAACCUUAUACUGUAAAACUACAAGUGCACCUCAAAAAUCCAUCAGAAAAAGUAGUUUUAAUGUUGAAAAACCCUUUGAUUGAUCAUCUCAACAUCGAGAUGUAUGACCAUGAAAAAUAAAAAGAUUUUAAGUCUUAGAAAUAGUGCAUUUUACAACAUAUUAUCUACACCGUCCAUUUUCAAGAUUUUCAUACGUUUAUAGAUCUACUUGAUUCUAGCCAUUUUUGAAAUUUAAAAUUUUAUAAUUAGG
rnacentral:lncRNA from 1 species